GGAAGGAUCAUUACCGAGUGAAAUCUCGUUAAUCUAGUGGAUUGGGGUCUAUUGGUGCAUUCAUACGGUAGGCGCUUUCGCGCAAUUCCGGACCAAUGACCUAACAGAAUUGGACUUGAUCUAGAAUCAGAUUGUCUGGUAGGGUCUAGGGAGCGACUCUACGGGCGAAAGCCGGACAUUUAGAUUCCUGUUAAUUCGAUCGUCCAUUUCUAUCAGUGGUGAGCAAACGUUGGGUACCUAUCGGUGCUAUGCCUUCCUCGGUCCAAGCUCAGACUGGGGUGAUCUACGAGGCAUACCCGUUAACCGUUGAUAGGCUGGUGAACGUCUCUAAUCAGUCUAUUACGGGCAAGGUUCAAAGAGGAUCUGUCAUUAGCUCUCUGGUCGAAGUUACUUUGUCGACCCAGAUCCCGCCCAACAAACUCCUUUUUAACUAUGUAAUACAAACCGUAGACUUGGCUAGUCCGAGACUACAAAACAGAAUUCUAAGCGGUGGAUCACUCGGCUCGUGGGUCGAUGAAGAACGGAGCUAGCUCCGUGAUUUAAUGUGAAUUGCAGACACAUUGAACAUCGACAUUUCGAACGCACAUUGCGGCUUUGGGUUUUCCCGAAGCCACGUCUGUCUGAGGGUCGUUUGUACGACAGCAUAUGGUGAAUUGCUCCUAGUAGAUUGGAGAUUGCAUUCGCCACAUUGGACUACUGAAGUCGGACAUGGGACCUAGACUUUAAAGACAAAGCUUGUUCCUAGGGGGUUGGAAUUUGUCUUGGAAUUUGAAGUCUUCGUCUUAGACAUUGACCUAGGGGGUUGGUCUAUGUCGGUCGAUUUUACUAGUCUUGAGAAAGAAACGUCAGUCUGCUUUCUGCACUGGCAUAAUAUUGAAACCUUCGGUGCGACAUGACACUGAAGUCAAAUCCAGUCACGUGAAUAGUGAAAUUUCGCGAAUUGGAUUGACGAUAAGUGCAACUAUCGAAGGACUUCAAAUUCUAUAAUCGACCUCAGAUCAGACGUGAAUACCCGCUGAAUUUAAGCAUAUUAGUAGGCGGAGGAAAAGAAACUAACAAGGAUUCCCAGAGUAACUGCGAGUGAAAUGGGAAGAGCCCAGCGCUGAAUCCCUUCGGUCGUGGACCGUCGGGACCUGUAGCGUUUUAGUCUCUUUUUCUAGAGUCAGACACACUGUCGGAGUCCCCUUGAACGGGGCCACUGCCCAUAGCGGGUGCAAGGCCCAUACGACAGGAGUCGACCCUAGUAUGAAGAAGACUAUCGAGUCGGGUUGCUUGAGAGUGCAGCCCAAAGGGGUGGUAAACUCCAUCCAAGGCUAAAUAUUACCACGAGACCGAUAGCAAACAAGUACCGUGAGGGAAAGUUGCAAAGAACUUUGAAGAGAGAGUUAAAAGGACGUGAAACCGCUUGGAAGGAAACGGGUAGAGCUGCUAUGCAGUUCCCAAAAUUCAGUCUUCCAUCCGAUUGACUUUAUGGGACCGAUCGUAAGACGGGACUGUGAACGUCGUAUUGGAAGGUAGAUGUAUUUUUUGGGAAUGAGCGUCACGACCGAUUGACCUUCCGACAGAAAGGUAUUGGAAAGCCGACAGACUCUUCGGAGACUGUGCCCCUUCCUUUACUAAUUAUGUUCGGGUAAGGACGAUCGAGUAUUGACCGUGUCGGCUGUCGCAUGAUCUGGUCUAAGCUUUCGGUAGACUUGGGGAUCGAGCUUGCUCGGUACUCAGACCCCCGAUUGAAUAUGACUAGGUUUAUGCCCAGACGCCUAAGGUCAGUGACGUCUGAGUCAGUCACCUACCCGACCCGUCUUGAAACACGGACCAAGAAGUCUAACAUGUGCGCAAGUCAUUGGAUUGUAAAUCCAAAGGCGUAAUGAAAGUGAAACAUAGUGGGAUUCCUAGUCUUCGGACCGGGACGCACCACUACCCCAUCUGAUCUGCAUGUCAGGUAGGUGGAGGAAGAGCGUACACGUUGGGACCCGAAAGAUGGUGAACUAUGCCUGAGCAGGAUGAAGCCAGAGGAAACUCUGGUGGAAGUCCGUAGCGGUUCUGACGUGCAAAUCGAUCGUCAGACUUGGGUAUAGGGGCGAAAGACUAAUCGAACCAUCUAGUAGCUGGUUCCCUC
rnacentral:misc_RNA from 1 species